UACGUAUGGAGCAAGCGUUAUCCGGAUUUACUGGGUGUAAAGGGUGCGUAGGUGGCAGUGCAAGUCAGAUGUGAAAGGCCGGGGCUCAACCCCGGAGCUGCAUUUGAAACUGCAUAGCUAGAGUACAGGAGAGGCAGGCGGAAUUCCUAGUGUAGCGGUGAAAUGCGUAGAUAUUAGGAGGAACACCAGUGGCGAAGGCGGCCUGCUGGACUGUUACUGACACUGAGGCAUGAAAGCGUGGGGAGCAAACAGG
rnacentral:rRNA from 1 species